AAGCGGAGGAAAAGAAACCAACCGGGAUUGCCUUAGUAACGGCGAGUGAAGCGGCAAAAGCUCAAAUUUGAAAUCUGGUACCUUCGGUGCCCGAGUUGUAAUUUGGAGAGGGCAACUUUGGGGCCGUUCCUUGUCUAUGUUCCUUGGAACAGGACGUCAUAGAGGGUGAGAAUCCCGUGUGGCGAGGAGUGCGGUUCUUUGUAAAGUGCCUUCGAAGAGUCGAGUUGUUUGGGAAUGCAGCUCUAAGUGGGUGGUAAAUUCCAUCUAAAGCUAAAUAUUGGCGAGAGACCGAUAGCGAACAAGUACAGUGAUGGAAAGAUGAAAAGAACUUUGAAAAGAGAGUGAAAAAGUACGUGAAAUUGUUGAAAGGGAAGGGCAUUUGAUCAGACAUGGUGUUUUGUGCCCUCUGCUCCUUGUGGGUAGGGGAAUCUCGCAUUUCACUGGGCCAGCAUCAGUUUUGGUGGCAGGAUAAAUCCAUAGGAAUGUAGCUUGCCUCGGUAAGUAUUAUAGCCUGUGGGAAUACUGCCAGCUGGGACUGAGGACUGCGACGUAAGUCAAGGAUGCUGGCAUAAUGGUU
rnacentral:rRNA from 1 species